AUUGAGCGCUGGCGGCAGGCCUAACACAUGCAAGUCGAGCGGAUGAAGGGAGCUUGCUCCUGGAUUCAGCGGCGGACGGGUGAGUAAUGCCUAGGAAUCUGCCUGGUAGUGGGGGAUAACGUCCGGAAACGGGCGCUAAUACCGCAUACGUCCUGAGGGAGAAAGUGGGGGAUCUUCGGACCUCACGCUAUCAGAUGAGCCUAGGUCGGAUUAGCUAGUUGGUGGGGUAAAGGCCUACCAAGGCGACGAUCCGUAACUGGUCUGAGAGGAUGAUCAGUCACACUGGAACUGAGACACGGUCCAGACUCCUACGGGAGGCAGCAGUGGGGAAUAUUAGACAAUGGGCGAAAGCCUGAUCCAGCCAUGCCGCGUGUGUGAAGAAGGUCUUCGGAUUGUAAAGCACUUUAAGUUGGGAGGAAGGGCAGUAAGUUAAUACCUUGCUGUUUUGACGUUACCAACAGAAUAAGCACCGGCUAACUUCGUG
rnacentral:rRNA from 1 species